CCUACGGGAGGCAGCAGUAGGGAAUAUUGCUCAAUGGGGGAAACCCUGAAGCAGCAACGCGGCGUGGAGGAUGAAGGUUUUCGGAUUGUAAACUCCUUUUGUUAGAGAAGAUAAUGACGGUAUCUAACGAAUAAGCACCGGCUAACUCCGUGCCAGCAGCCGCGGUAAUACGGAGGGUGCAAGCGUUACUCGGAAUCACUGGGCGGAAAGAGCGCGUAGGCGGGGUAGCAAGUCAGAUGUGAAAUCCUAUGGCUUAACCAUAGAACUGCAUUUGAAACUGUUAUUCUAGAGUAUGGGAGAGGUAGGUGGAAUUCUUGGUGUAGGGGUAAAAUCCGUAGAGAUCAAGAGGAAUACUCAUUGCGAAGGCGACCUGCUAGAACAUAACUGACGCUGAUGCGCGAAAGCGUGGGGAGCAAACAGGAUUAGAUACCCGAGUAGUC
rnacentral:rRNA from 1 species